rnacentral:rRNA from 1 species
AAUUUUUCGCAAUGGGCGCAAGCCUGACGAAGCAACGCCGCGUGGAGGAUGAAGGCCUUCGGGUCGUAAACUCCUGUCGACCGGGACGAAUGCAGCCUGGGUAAAUAGCCCGGGCUGUUGACUGUACCGGUGGAGGAAGCCACGGCUAACUCUGUGCCAGCAGCCGCGGUAAUACAGAGGUGGCAAGCGUUGUUCGGAAUUACUGGGCGUAAAGGGCGCGUAGGCGGUUCGAUAGGUCCCGUGUGAAAGCCCCCGGCUCAACUGGGGAACUGCACGGGAAACUGACGGACUUGAGUUCGGGAGAGGGAAGCGGAAUUCCGGGUGUAGCGGUGAAAUGCGUAGAUAUCCGGAGGAACACCGGUGGCGAAGGCGGCUUCCUGGACCGACACUGACGCUGAGGCGCGAAAGCUAGGGGAGCAAAC